CCUGUGUAAUUGUAGUUCCGACUUCACCGUCUCUGACCCUGGACCCAGGCUCAUCCUUGGUUCUAGCGGCGGCUUCUUUAUCGGCCCCGGUCACGGCCCCAUCCCAAGCCCCGGGCUCGGCCCUCACUCCAGUUCGAGCACCAGGCUCGGCUCCAGGCAGGGCCCGCGGCACCAACCUCGCCACCGGGCACCGGCAACCGCCGCACGAGCGCUGGAGUGGCCCUCCCUCCCGGAGUGUCCAGUCCUGCCUUGCGAGUCCAUUGUGACGUCACUCAAGUUUUUUUUCGAAACGGACGAGUUUUCGGGCUGUUUUUAAAUCUUUAAACCAUUAAAAAGUUGGGAAAUGCAGGUGGGAUUGCGACGGGAAUAUGUUUAUCGCAUUGACGGGGAAAAAUGUGAGUCGAAUGUGUGAAAAUGGGAGGCUGUGGCCUAGCAUUUGGAAGAAAGUAGGAAUUGACCAGAUUGUGCCCAGAUGACACACACCCACAUACACAAUACAUACACACAAACAA